ensembl:lncRNA
CUCCAUGGAUCCCCCUGGCGAAAGCUGGGCACGUUUUCAGUCUUCAUGGCAGUGCCCUCUGUGUUCCCAGUCACAACAGGAGUCAGGCUGGGCUAUUAUUUUAUAGGAAAUCUGAGAACCAGGCCAGCUAAAUGGCCAGGUUUUGGAAGUUGUGGUGUUAUAUGAGUGAGGGAUAAAGUAGUGUUCGGGGUUCUCUUGUUACAGCGGACAGCAUCAGAAAGCCUGAGAGUGUCAAAGCCCAUCUCGCUGAGCUCAGGCUAGGCUCAAACUGGUGAUCCUCCUGCCUAAGCCUCCCAGAGUGCUGGGAUUACAGGCAUCCACCAAACCUGGCUUUUUUUGUGAACACUGCAGAGUCAAACCCAGGGUUUAAGCAUGCUAAAUGAGGCUCAGUGAGAGAAAAAGAGCCACGCAGAAAACCUGUGGUACAGCU